ensembl:lncRNA
AGACUGACUAGCAGAGGUUCAGUUUAAACACAAUUUAUUUUUCUGCUUAAAUAAUUACUUGGAUCAUCCAGUGUAGGCUAUGUUGGUUUGUCAUACAUGUCGGUACCAGAUUUAUUAUCAACAAUGGAUGCUUAGGGUGGAUUCAUAUGAAAAAAAAAACAAACAGAAAUUCAAUUUACACAUGAACAGAAAGUCACAUUUUUAAUAACUGACAGUGAUUUGUAUGUGAUUACAAAGAUUUCGAUUUGAGUGAUGGGGCUAAAAAUGAGAUUCUCUGUUCUCAUGUAAAUAGAAGCAAAUAAACAGGAUAAAAAUCAUCAACGUAAAAGUCCCCUUUUAAAAACCACAGUAGAACUAAAGGUUUAAAUAUACACUUCUAGUAUGCAUGGAUUUUUUUUCUUAAUGUUAAACACACACACGCGCACACACAGACAAACGCACACACACACAGCGUUGCUAGCGGUCUAGAGCUAACAAUGUGCUAGUCUGAAAGAUGCAUUGGACAGUGUCAGUACUUUCCUGUUGCAUAAGAAGGAUGCUGUACUAUCUCGCCACUAGGAUGUGGAGUGUCAUUUCAUUUGUAAAAAAAAAAGAAAAGAAAAGGAAAUUAAAUAAAAAACAAAACAGUUAUAGAUGACAGAUGUUUGGGUUACUAUGAGUGCUCACACAGACAGAAGUACCAUCACACCCUCUCUAAGUUGUAUUACAGUGCUUUGAAUUAAGAGAAAGAAAGGAAAGCGUUAAAAAUAAAGUGACAUAACAUGCAGCAAAAUAUCAUUUCUCUGAAGAAUGUCCCUCGGACAGAGCAGAGUAGCUGUUGUCUUUAAAGAAAAUGUCCUCUGUUGAAAAUCAAGCAUCAUUUUUUUUUCUCCAUUCGUUUCAUUCACAUACAGCUUUUUUUGUUCCUUUUUAUAUUUGGGAAGAGCACGUCAGAAGACACACUCCAGGCUGCACGAAAAGUGUCGACCUCUCAAUACAAAUGCACUGGCUCUGCAAAGCUUCAUCAACUCAAAUCAGUGCAUAAACAAUCUGUGAAGCUACCAAUUCUUUUUUUUUUUUAAAGAUUUUAUACAGUGUCAUUUAUGUACAACAAAAACACCCAGGUACUAUUAUAUCUCCUUUGUUUUGUUUUAUAAAAGAACCACAUGGUGCACCCCAAUACCGUGAGUGCAGGAGGAAAAAAUAAAGCCAUACAAGGCGAGUGUCUGAGAGAGUGAAGUCUUUUCCCUCGCUGUUUGUGCCGUCUUUGGUCACAGACGCCUUUCAUUUGCCAAAGAUUAAAGAAGUUUCCAGCUCACGUCCAUGCGUGUCCUUCGGUGUUGUUUUCCAACAGUGAGUGAGUUUGGUGACAUGCUCAUGCGAAAUCAAAGAAAAGUAACGUGUUGUCUUGCUGAAAACCAUGCGUUGUAAAGCGAAAGCUUCAGACACGUGUUGGCUCCUGGUUUCAUUGGCUCCGGUCUGUUUUUCCUCCCAGGGUCAUGUGUGGGGGUCACAGGUGGAUGUCCAUGGACCUGAGUGUAAAGGAAAGUUUAUACUUCAGAUUGGUUGUUGUAUAAAAAAAGUACUUUUCUGCUUUAGGAUUGCAGUUUUAAAUAUCUUUUUUUGUCUUUCUUGGCCUCGAUUGUAAUUGUGUUUUUAAUUAAUUCUCCUGUUUAUAUGUUUUAUUUAUUCACUGCACCACCUUGUGGUACAAAUUGGAAUUACAUGAAAGUACCACCUGACACUAGUUCAUCUCCAGUAUCUGUUCAACACAGUACAAAGAGAUUUUGGACAUGAAGUCAUAAACAAUUGUUUGUUCAUAUCAUUUUGAUAGCUUUAGUUAACUCUGGAACGUAACAGAAAGUGUCCUACAAAACCUCGCAAGUGAUUCGUUUUCAUCUUUGUUUACAUACAACAUAAGGUGAUAUUUUUUUAAAUACUAACUAGAACAUAAAACUCACAUUUAGAUGUCAACUAGCAACUUAAAU